CAGUAGCCACGGUAAUACGGAGGGUGCGAGCGUUAAUCGGAAUUACUGGGCGUAAAGCGUACGCAGGCGGUUUGUUAAGUCAGAUGUGAAAUCCCCGGGCUUAACCCGGGAACUGCAUUUGAAACUGGCAGGCUAGAGUCUCGUAGAGGGGGGUAGAAUUCCAGGUGUAGCGGUGAAAUGCGUAGAGAUCUGGAGGAAUACCGGUGGCGAAGGCGGCCCCCUGGACAAAGACUGACGCUCAGGUGCGAAAGCGUGGGGAGCAAACAGGAUUAGAUACCCCUGUAGUCCCUGUCUCUUAUAC
rnacentral:rRNA from 1 species